GUUCACACUUAGGAGUACAUAUACUGAAACCGGAAUGAUACAGAGAAGAUUAGCACGGGCCCCGUUCAAGGAUGAUGUGCAAAUUUGUGAAGUGUUCCAUGUAGAA
rnacentral:snRNA from 1 species